UAGGCUGUAAGACCCGAGCCGGGCGGAGAAGCAGAGGAGAGGGACACGGGAAGCAUGUUUAACCUGGGACUGAAAUCUGGAGAGCUUGGCUACCUUCAUCCUCCUCAGGCCAGAACAGGCUUCCUGAGACAGUCCAGGUCGUAGGAGUUUUACGAGUUAAAAAGCGGGCUGCAGACCCCUGCCUGGGUGUUUGGUUCAAGCCUUGGCUCUGGCCUUACUCUGUCUUCCCGGGAGUUCGUGAGAUUCGGACCUUAGAUUGUUAGUAUUAUUUUGAGGGCCUCCUGUGUGUAAGCACAGGUUGUGCGCAGAUGGCUGUGCAGAGCGCCAUGAGGUAGAGGCUGGGGGAAUGAGGGCUUGGAGGUGCUUGAGGUAUGGUCUUUACCUACGUGAAAUGUUGGAGGUUGAGAUGAAAAAUCUUGCUUUGAAUUCUUCACGGAGGACUACAUCAUUUCAAUCCUGAAUCUGACUCAAUUCUAUUAUUCACUUAUUACUGUAUUUAAAAUGUUUAAUUGGCUGGGCACAGUGGCUCAUGUCUGUAAUCCCAGCACUUUGGGAGGCCAAGGCGGGUGGAUCACUUGAGGUCAGGAGUUCAACACCAGCUGGGCCAACAUGGCAAAACCCUGCCUCUACUAAAAAUACAAAAAUCAUCCGGGUGUGGUGGCACGCACCUGUAAUCACAGCUUCUUGGGAGACUGAGGUGGGAGAAUUGUUUGAAACCAGGAGGUGGAGGUUGCAGUGAGCCGAGAUCACACCACUGCACUCAAGCCAUGGCAACAGAGUGAGACUCUGUCUCAGUAAAAAAAUAAAAAAAAAAAAAUGUUUAAUUAACCAUGA